rnacentral:tRNA from 1 species
GCUGUGGUUCAUUGGCAGAGCACCUGUUUUGCAUGCAGAAGGUCCCUGGUUCAAUCCCUGGCAUCUCCA